GCCUUCGUGGUGUAACGGUAACACACUCGGUGUGUAUUCGAGAGGUCCAGGUUCAAAUCCGGCUGAGGGCG
rnacentral:tRNA from 1 species